CUCGAGAAUCCAUGUAUCACUGCGCCGAGGCCAUGCGCCAUUUUGUGUACCUGAGUCAUUUGUAAAUUACGCUGGUUUCGAUGGCAAAUAACACGUCAAAUGGUCAUCUUUCUAUUUAUUAGUGACUGAAAUGGGAGCGAUUCCCUUCGUAUAGAAAUGUGUUUUCCUGUGGUUACGGUUCUUUUAGACCACACUGUAUCAUCGUAAUUUUACAUGUAGCAAACAGUACCCGUGCCUCUUAUAGAAAAGGGUUACUUUUAAAAUCGUAUUUACUACCCCAAUAUGUACGUAUUGUGGCACAUUGUAGUGUAGUUAGUACAAAUGAAAAUAGGGACUACAUAACAUGUUCAGCGAGCAGCGGAAGGUGACUAAAAAUGGUACACCUCUUUGUGACGUCACCGCGCGAGUACUCUAUAAGUACCCUCCUCCCAGGAUUUGUUGCGCAGUGCUACGUGGACGGUCGCGGAAGAGAGGCAGCGGUGGUGCAUUUCGUUAUGGUUUCUUUUACAUUGAGUAUUCCGACUACUUUAAAGGCUUUGGUAUCCUACAUGUGAGAGUUCUUGCGGCAUGCAUGGAAGAAGCACAGCAACAAUAGUAAAGACUUCUCUUGGUUCAUCUGUGAUCCAGAAGACUGAAAAAGGACUGCACUGCUCCAGCCUGUGGCAAAGUUGUUCUAUAGCACUCACUGCAGGCAACUAAUACUGGAUUUUCCUUGGACAGUUACUACUUUCUCCAGUUUUAUGUAUAUUAGACUUUCCCAUGUGCCAACAAGCCCAGACUUCCCAUGUUAGCUGGAUAAGUAUCAAAACAAACACCAAAUAUCCCACUUGGGAUUGAUUAAAUGUUUAGAUGUGUGGGGGUCAACCAUGAGAACUCUAACUUCAUGAGAAUAUUUAAUUUCAGCAUUUUUGUAUUGAAUUUUUGACAAUUGCAUAAUAGAAGUUAAAUCAGGUUAUCCUUGGUGUUAAUGCUACUACUGUUUUGCAGAUUGUUUUAGGUUUCAUUCAUAUCUGCACUAGUUUCCAUUCUGCUACGUCUUUAGAUUAAAAGGGUUAUCCAGUAUUAGAAAAAUGCUGCUUCUUUCUUGCAAACAAAAAAUGGCUCCACCCCUGUCCAAAGGCUGUGUCUGGUAUUGCAGCUCAGUGCCAUCGAGUGGUGAUGGUUUUGCAUAUAAGAAGCAUUGUAUUUUUUUUUUUUUUUAAAGCUGGUAGUUUAAGACAAGACAGCAAAGCAUACAGCCGUGUUAUGUCCUAUCAUAUGGGUGUUUGACGCUACUAAUGGGACUUAUAAAGCGGAUGUGAAUUAAGCCUAACACAAUGCCUCAAAUUUGUUUACUUGUUAAUUUAAUUUUUGUUCUUUAGAUGCAGUUGAGUCCUGUUUACGUGCUCUGCCCUCUAGCACCUCUAAACUUCAGACACCAGCAGUGGUUGCCAGACAGCUGUACAGACAAACCAAGCAUACAUAUUAUUUAAAAACAUUUUUUUUAACCUUUGACCAGUAUGUAGCUUCUCUAACAUGAAUUCACAUCUGGGAAGAUACUUCGCCCAUAUGUGGUCGGUUCAUAGUUAAUGGGUAAGCAGGAGAGCUAUCCAAGCUUUUAGGCUGUCGAAACAAGCAUCCUCUACCUGGUAAGCAUACAUUUGUAUGAAGUGUUGUCCCUCCCCUAAAUCAUGUAAUCCUUGUAGCCUUCCAAAGGGCACAUCGAAUGCAACUGCCUGUGUCUUAAAGGGAACCAAUCAGCAGAUUUUAGCAUAUAAUGCUUGACAAUGCAAGAUAUAUGCUAAAACAGUUACCCCCUCCCUGCAGGUAGUUCCCUGGGCGGGGACUUCUACUUUCCAGCACCAGUCGCUCUGACUGUGGUCCCGUCCCCUGGUCUUGAUUGACGGCUCGCGGAACUGCUCUGCUCCAUCUGCUUAAGGGGCAGAGUGAUGACGCAAGCAGCCAAUCAAGCUGACGGGGGCAGAGCCAUGGCCGGAGCAAUGGGGGCUGGUAAGUAGAUGUCCCUGCCCAGGGGACUACUUGGGGCGGGGGGGGGGGGGGGUUAAAAGCUUCACCAUACCUGGUUGCAAAAAAAGUCCCCCGGGGAUCGUGAGGAUAACUGUUUUAGCGUAUAUUACUUAUUGUCAAGAGAUAGAUAGAGAUCUUUUUGCUAUUUAUAUAUCUCUAUCUUUCUAUAUCUAUCUCUGCUGAUCGGCUGUCUUUAAGUGUUAAGCUGUUUGCUAUGAGUAGCCCCAAAUUUGACUUGACAUUUGUUAUAGUGAUAAUCUGUCCCACUGGCCAAUAUGGAAUGUAUUAACAAUAUAUUGGUGAUGUCCACUUAGUAAAAAUGUUAAUAAAGCGUCUUCUCCCUGCUCUCAAACUAGACCUUAAAGGGGUACUCCGGUGCUUAGACAUCUUAUCCCCUAUCCAAAGGAUAGUGGGAGUCCCACCGCUGGGGACCCCCGUGAUCUUGCACGUGGCACCCAGUUUGUAAUCAGUCCCCGGAGCGUGUUCUGAUUACCGGCGACCACACGGCCGGCGGCGUGUGACGUCACGAUCCGCCCCUCAAUGGAAGCCUACGGGAGGGGGCGUGAUAGCAGUCACGUGACAUCACACGCUGCCAGCCAUGUGGUCGCCGGUGAUCGGACCCGGAGAGAACACGCUUCGGGGACUGAUUACAAACGGGAUGCCGCGUGCAAGAUCCCGGCUUUUCCCAGUGGCGGGACUCUUGCGAUCAGGCAUCUUAUCCCCUAUCCUUUGGAUAGGGGGUAAGAUGUCUAAGCACCGGAGUACCCCUUUAAGUCAUUUGUGCCACUUUAAAUGACACCUUCUUGAAAUAAAAACAUUCCUUGUAGUUAUUUAACAUGCCCCCAUUAAUUAACCACUGACUUAGAACUAGAUCUGUCUACCUAGCUUUUGUAAUACAUCUGGAUGUGUCUUUUACGUUUCUUCCUAGGAUGUUGUCUUUUUGGUGUUACUGUUGACUGACAUCAGAAAAUGCUUUCAUAAACCUGUAUGUACAAGUAAGGUGUUUCCUUGGUAUACGUGUUGUACAUUCAAUGUAUUUUCUGUGUAUUGAACACUUGACAAAUUAAAUAUAAUAAUAAAUAAA